AAUUCACCAUGGCUUUCUACCAUUUAAUCUCCAUCUUCUUCCUCUAUCUCAUACACUCAUCUUUUCUUGUUUUUUCAUUCUCCAUUUCACUUUCUCAUCCUCCAUAGCUAUGAAGCUCCUCAAAAACUUCCCCAAAAAGCUCUUCAACUACAAAAAAACUCGAUCAAUUUCCAGAUCUCAAACCUCAUCCUUCGGUUCCUCCUCCGAUUCCGAUUCCCUUCCUCAUCGCGGCUUCAGAAAACCAACCGGAUCAUCUACUCCAACUAGCGUCUUACCGAACGAAAUCUCUGCUGCGGAAGUAGUUUACGCUGAGCUAAUCCAUGCGUUUCACAUGAUGGAUACUGACGGCGACGGUAAGAUAAGGAAGGAAGAGCUGGAAGCGAUUUUAAGCAGAGUCGGGACUGAACCACCGAGUAAGGAGGAACUCAUGUUGUUGCUUGAAGAAGUUGAUGUUGACGGAGAUGGAUGUAUUAGUUUACAGGAAUUCGGAGCUAUUAGCUCAGCGUUUGGACCGCCGGCGUGUGAUUCUGAGCUGAGAGAUGCUUUUGAUUUCUUCGAUGCCGAUCACGACGGGAAGAUCACGGCGGAGGAGCUGUUUAACGUGUUUAGAACGAUCGGAGAUGGGCGGUGCACGUUAGAGGAGUGUCGGCGUAUGAUAAGAGGUGUUGAUAAAAAUGGAGAUGGAUUCGUAUGCUUUGAGGACUUUA
rnacentral:misc_RNA from 1 species